UUGACUUCUCAGCAUCCACUUAGUGGCUCACAGUUGGUUAUAGCUCAGUUCCAGAGGAUGCCUUUGUGGGCUCUACAGGCAGCAGAACACUUGUACACAUAGAAUAAAAAUGAACCUUUAAAAAAAAAAGUGCACCGAUGAAUGCAGUAAGUUAAGUUUGUAUAUGUUGGAUAUUGUUGAAAGCUUCAGAAAGUAGUUAUGUAUGGUGGUGCAUGUGUAUAGACUCUGAGGUUGGGGGCAGGAAGAUGUUGAGUUUGAAUUCAGUCUUGACUACAUAGUAAAUUCCAGGUUCACCAGGACUGCGUUAUGAAACUAUUUUUCAAAAAGGAACACAAAAGCAUCAUGUUCAAAGAAUGGGAUUGCCAUUACUGUUUCUCUGGAAAACAGUCAUUGAUAGUAAAUAGGAAGGAUAUGUCAGAAAGCACAGAACUUUCCUAGCUGUUUACUUAUGGAGUAAGUAAACUUGUGUACUUAUGACUAUAGAGUACAUUCUGUUUAGUAGAACAACUGUUCUUCUAAGUUCUUUUUAUACCAUUUCUUGUAUUUUGUAUCGCACUUACCGUUAAAAAAUUGCUUCUCAGAUACCCUUACUUCUAUCCAUUUUGUAGAGUCCUGCUGAAUGAAGACCUGUCUAUUGAGGAGAGGCAUGUUGUUCUCUGGAUGGCAUUAAGUUGACUGAGCAUCUCUGAUAAGUCACCAGUUACAAAGCUUACAUUUGUUUUUCUCUGUUAGGAUAUAGGUACUGCCAUUGUUUCAGACACUACGGACGAUUUGUGGUUUUUAAAUGAUACCGUGUCAGAGCAAUUAGGUGUUGGAAUAAAAGUUGAAGCUGCUAAUUCUGAGCAAGCAAGUGAAGUAGGGAAAACAAGUAACAAAAAGAUGGUUGAAGUGGGAAAAGACGACUAUCUUGAGGACUCCAAGUCCUUAAGUGAUGAUACCGAUGUGGAAGUUACUUCU